CCCAGCCUGACACAACCCCCAUCCCAAUGGACAUCCCCCCCCUUUGGCACCCUGCACUGCUGGCACCCCUAUGCCCCCAUAGAUACCCCCUCCUGCCACCUGACAACCCCCACCUCUGUCCCCCAUGGUCACCCCUCUACCUCAGCCUGACACAAUCCCCAUCCCCAUGGACAUGCCCUCUCUGGCCCACAGCUCCAUAAUCCCCCCACAUACACUGGCCCAGAGCCCCACAACCCCCCCCCUCCCAAGAGCUCACAUAGAUACACCCUCCUACUGCCCUAGAGUUCUACAUCCCACCCUCAUGGAUUUCCUUCCAUCCCACUGCCCUAGAGCAGUGGUCUCCAAAGUGGGGCUCGCACAUGGGGGUGAGUGGCAGGAGGAGGGUUGUUUGUUUUGAUUUUUUUUGCUUCGGCGCGGCGGGGGUGCGUACUCAAAAAUUUUUUACUGAUAGGGUGCGCGAUCAAAAAACUUUGGAGACCACUGCCCUAGAGGGCCAAAACCCAUCCCCAUGGAAGUCCCCUACUGCCCCAGAGCUCCAAAAUGUCUCACCCCUGUGGACCUUCCCCCCACCCCCACUGCCUGAGAGCGCCUCAUCCCCAUGGACACCCCCUGCCCCAGAGUUCCACAACACACCCAUAUCUAAAUAUUCCCUCUACAACACUCCUCCCUCAUAAACCAAAUACCUAGGAGAAAUGACUAGGUCCUCUGAGUUAUUUAGGUAUCUGCAAACCUAAAAGAUCCACUUCUACUCAUUUGAAAAAUAUGGAAUGAAGUCAUCAGGCAUGUUCUAACAAGGAACUAGAAAUGUCUGUUAGACAAACUGCCUAACUCCAAUAUCCCCACCACCACCACCACCCCCAAGGGUUUGUCUCCUAUGGAUGCAUUCCGGACUGUCCUUCAGGAUAUACUCCAGCAAGUAAGGAAGGAAAAUACGUUUGAGCUUGGCGUAAUCGCAAUGAAUAUGAAGGGAGAAGCCGGAGCUGCUUAAUCAGUACCAUUUUGAUACUGCAUGUGGUCUCAGGGAAAGGACUCCAUAGAAGAAUUAGUGCAACAACCCUACUAGAGAUGAAAAAAUACAUUAAAAGAUAAUUCUUCUGUGUUAUACAGGGCAGAUUGUGAACCCCUUACUCGCAAUGGUGAGCAGUACAAUUAGUCCCAUUAAGACCCAAAAGGAACUGUUUGGCACUCCUGAAAAUUCAUCUACUUAUUUAGGUAGGCCUAAAUAAGGAUUUUGGAGUCAACUUUAUGUAACACUUCCCCUUGUCCCCCUUUUUUUAAUUUUGACUGGAAUAUUUUAGUCCUGAAUCAUGCUUUUAUAGCCACAAUUCAGGAAUGUGUGUCCUGCAUCUCAUUAGCUGUUGGACCUCUGAUUAUUCUUCAGUUUUCUGACAGUCAUCACACAGUGUCAAUUUGGGGCCCAAUUCUGCCACCUUUCUUUCUGUUAAGUAAUACUGUAUCUUACUCCAUUAAUAGUCUCAAUGAGUAAGGGUGACAGAAUUUGGCCCUUAGUUAUUAACAUUGCUAUCUUUUAGCUGUAAAAUGAAAUAUUUCUUUUGGCUUUAAGAAUUGCAUGUUUCAUUUUUGUUGUGUAUAUAUAAGAAUAUGACUAUCUACCAAAAUCUUGCAUUCAACUGGUAUAGUGAAAUCCCCUUUUUUUUUAAUUAAAGAAAAAUUCACACAUUCACUGAAGAUGUGAAUUACACAGAAAUAAACUCAGGAUUGGGUUGUUUGUUUAAUUUCACAUCGCUGUAUAACAGUGAUAAAAGAUUUACAUUUGUACUCACCCUUCGGAAAUCUUGCAGCUAUAACUUCAAAGUCAGGGCCGC